rnacentral:rRNA from 1 species
UACGAAGGGGGCUAGCGUUGCUCGGAAUUACUGGGCGUAAAGCGCACGUAGGCGGCUUUCUAAGUCGGGGGUGAAAUCCUGGAGCUCAACUCCAGAACUGCCUUCGAUACUGGAGAGCUUGAGUCCGGGGAGAGGUGAGUGGAACUGCGAGUGUAGAGGUGAAAUUCGUAGAUAUUCGCAAGAACACCAGUGGCGAAGGCGGCUCACUGGCCCGGUACUGACGCUGAGGUGCGAAAGCGUGGGGGAGCAAACAGGG